UGGACAUUUAUUUUACAGCAGCUUCUUCUCACAGUGAAGAUGACUCUCUUUAAAUGUCCUAGAGAAACAAAGUAGCUCUCUGUGCAUCCUUUCCAAGUCAAAAGGCUGCAUCGUUCCACUACUGACAUUU